rnacentral:rRNA from 1 species
UACAGAGGUCCCAAGCGUUGUUCGGAUUCAUUGGGCGUAAAGGGUGCGUAGGUGGCGUGGUAAGUCGGGUGUGAAAUUUCGGAGCUUAACUCCGAAACUGCAUUCGAUACUGCCGUGCUUGAGGACUGGAGAGGAGACUGGAAUUUACGGUGUAGCGGUGAAAUGCGUAGAUAUCGUAAGGAAGACCAGUGGCGAAGGCGGGUCUCUGGGCCGUAACUGACGCUGAGGAGCGAAAGCGUGGGGAGCGAACAGG